GAGUCUCCAGCUUUUUGCUCCUUAAACCACAGAAAGUCAGGGAUGUGAGUCUACAGCUGUUUGCUCCUUAAACCACAGAAAGUCAGGGAUAUGAGUCUACAGCUGUUUGCUCCUUAAACCACAGAAAGUCAGGGAUAUGAGUCUACAGCUGUUUGCUCCUUAAACCACAGAAAGUCAGGGAUAUGAGUCUACAGCUUUUUGCUCCUUAAACCACAGAAAGUCAGGGAUAUGAGUCUACAGCUGUUUGCUCCUUAAACCACAGAAAGUCAGGGAUAUGAGUCUACAGCUGUUUGCUCAUUGAAACUGCAGAGUCAGGGAUGUGAGUCUACAGCUGUUUGCUCCUUAAAACCACAGAAAGUCAAUGAUGUGAGUCUACAGCUGUUUGCUCCUAAAAACCGCAGAGUCAGGGAUAUGUCUACAGCUAUUUACUCCAUAAAACCGUAGAAAUUCAGGGAUGUGAGUCUACACCUGUUUUCUCAUUGAAACUGCAGAGUCAGGGAUGUGAGUCUACAGCUGUUUCCUCCUUAAAACUGUAGCUGUAGUUUUUGUGUCCCUGUUAAUUCCUGUAUCUGUAGACAUAUCGUCAAGUUGUAUUUAUACUCGACUUAAAUAAGUGUAAAGUUUCUACAGUUUGUGAUUUGAAUAAAACAGUUAUUAUAAUCGAAAAUAUUCCUGAUAAUAUUUAUUUAUAAUGCUUAAACUACAUUUUUCCUCUGUAGAUCAUAAGCUGAGUACUUGGCAUGAUUGUGUAAUGACGUAUAUAUUUAAUUCACAAUAUAAUCCUGUUAUCCA